GGAGAAUCAGGGGUCCCGAGGUUAAAACAAAAUUGAAAGUGAUAUGACAAAGGAUAGAUUCUCCACUACCCUGAAACAGCAUCACUUUCCUGAGAGUUGGAGAUUCAGAUGAAACAAAUAUCAGAUUCAGCUGAGGAAUCUGGGCAAAUUAGACACUUUCAGGACAAAAAUUGUCCGAUUAUGUCCUACCCAAAUAUGAACAAAUCUUGAAUGCAAGGUAUUUGGGUUUUGGGGGGGUAUUUUUGGUGUUUUUUAGGCCUGCAGG